GACGGAGGGUGCAAGCGUUGUUCGGAUUGACUGGGCGUAAAGGGCGUGUAGGCGGUUGGUCAAGUCUGAUGUGAAAGCCCGGGGCUCAGCCCCGGAAGGGCAUCGGAAACUAGCCAGCUGGAGCGCGAUAGAGGAGGGUGGAAUUCCUGGUGUAGCGGUGAAAUGCGUAGAUAUCAGGAGGAACACCGGCGGCGAAGGCGGCCCUCUGGAUCGUUGCUGACGCUGAGACGCGAAAGCGUGGGGAGCAAACAGG
rnacentral:rRNA from 1 species